rnacentral:rRNA from 1 species
GACAGAGGGUGCGAACGUUGUUCGGAAUUACUGGGCGUAAAGCGCGUGUAGGCUGCUCGGUAAGUCGGAUGUGAAAGCCCUGGGCUCAACCCAGGAAGUGCAUUCGAAACUUCCAAGCUCGAGUCCUGGAGAGGAAAGCGGAAUUCUCGGUGUAGAGGUGAAAUUCGUAGAUAUCGAGAGGAACACCGGUGGCGAAGGCGGCUUUCUGGACAGUGACUGACGCUGAGACGCGAAAGCGUGGGGAACAAACAGG